UACGUAGGGAGCAAGCGUUGUCCGGAUUUAUUGGGCGUAAAGAGCUCGUAGGCGGCUUGGCAAGUCAGAUGUGAAAACUCCAGGCUCAACCUGGAGACGCCAUUUGAUACUGCCAUGGCUUGAGUUCGGUAGGGGACCAUGGAAUUCCUGGUGUAGCGGUGAAAUGCGCAGAUAUCAGGAGGAACACCGAUGGCGAAGGCAGUGGUCUGGGCCGUCCCUGACGCUGAGGCGCGAAGGCGUGGGGAGCGAACAGG
rnacentral:rRNA from 1 species